rnacentral:rRNA from 1 species
UACGUAGGGUGCAAGCGUUGUCCGGAAUUAUUGGGCGUAAAGAGCUCGUAGGCGGUUUGUCGCGUCGAAUGUGAAAACCCGGGGCUCAACCCCGGGCCUGCAUUCGAUACGGGCAGACUAGAGUUCGGUAGGGGAGUCUGGAAUUCCUGGUGUAGCGGUGAAAUGCGCAGAUAUCAGGAGGAACACCGGUGGCGAAGGCGGGUCUCUGGACAGUUCCUGACGCUGAGGCACGAAGGUCAGGGGAGCAAACGGG